AGGAAUUUAAGUUAAACAAACUAAAAGCCUUCAAAGCUUUAAAUAAGAUAGAUUCUUAAUUCCUG
rnacentral:tRNA from 1 species